rnacentral:lncRNA from 1 species
AUUUUGAUAAUUGAGUGCCCCUUACCAUGUGGGAACUAACUCUUACCCAUUUGAUCCAUAGAUCUUCCCUAGGAUUCGAUGUGUACAUGUUUGGAGAGAAAAGCUGAGGUACUUAGGCUAUGAUGUAGGCCUGGGCCUACUGGAGCUAUCUUCCCCGACCUUUAAAGUCACCCUGAAGAAAGCUUGAAGGCACCAAGUAAUCAGGGAAUGAAGCCAAGCCAAGUAGAGAUGACAAAGAAGAGGCAGAAAGUCAUAAUGACACAUACAACCCUGUCCUUCCCAGUAGAAAAAGUUGGCUCUGCCAGGAAGACACUCCUUAAGCCAGUGGUGCAUAGGAUCAAGAUCUGUUUCAUAAACCCUGGCACUGCAGAAGAGAUAGCAUAGCAAGCAUAUGUGAGAGAACAAACCCCCUUUUCAGUGCAUGGCUCCUGGUUCCUGCUUCUAAUGGCUUGUCCUGAUGUCAGCAAUCAGGGUCUCUCUCUGUCACCCACACUGGACUGC